GGCUCAGGAUGAACGCUGGCGGCGUGCCUAAUACAUGCAAGUCGAACGAGUUCUGAUUAUUGAAAGGUGCUUGCAUCUUGAUUUUAAUUUUGAACGAGUGGCGGACGGGUGAGUAACACGUGGGUAACCUGCCCUUAAGUGGGGGAUAACAUUUGGAAACAGAUGCUAAUACCGCAUAAAUCCAAGAACCGCAUGGUUCUUGGCUGAAAGAUGGCGUAAGCUAUCGCUUUUGGAUGGACCCGCGGCGUAUUAGCUAGUUGGUGAGGUAACGGCUCACCAAGGCAAUGAUACGUAGCCGAACUGAGAGGUUGAUCGGCCACAUUGGGACUGAGACACGGCCCAAACUCCUACGGGAGGCAGCAGUAGGGAAUCUUCCACAAUGGACGCAAGUCUGAUGGAGCAACGCCGCGUGAGUGAAGAAGGCUUUCGGGUCGUAAAACUCUGUUGUUGGAGAAGAAUGGUCGGCAGAGUAACUGUUGUCGGCGUGACGGUAUCCAACCAGAAAGCCACGGCUAACUACGUGCCAGCAGCCGCGGUAAUACGUAGGUGGCAAGCGUUAUCCGGAUUUAUUGGGCGUAAAGCGAGCGCAGGCGGUUUUUUAAGUCUGAUGUGAAAGCCCUCGGCUUAACCGAGGAAGUGCAUCGGAAACUGGGAAACUUGAGUGCAGAAGAGGACAGUGGAACUCCAUGUGUAGCGGUGAAAUGCGUAGAUAUAUGGAAGAACACCAGUGGCGAAGGCGGCUGUCUGGUCUGUAACUGACGCUGAGGCUCGAAAGCAUGGGUAGCGAACAGGAUUAGAUACCCUGGUAGUCCAUGCCGUAAACGAUGAAUGCUAGGUGUUGGAGGGUUUCCGCCCUUCAGUGCCGCAGCUAACGCAUUAAGCAUUCCGCCUGGGGAGUACGACCGCAAGGUUGAAACUCAAAGGAAUUGACGGGGGCCCGCACAAGCGGUGGAGCAUGUGGUUUAAUUCGAAGCAACGCGAAGAACCUUACCAGGUCUUGACAUCUUUUGAUCACCUGAGAGAUCAGGUUUCCCCUUCGGGGGCAAAAUGACAGGUGGUGCAUGGUUGUCGUCAGCUCGUGUCGUGAGAUGUUGGGUUAAGUCCCGCAACGAGCGCAACCCUUAUGACUAGUUGCCAGCAUUUAGUUGGGCACUCUAGUAAGACUGCCGGUGACAAACCGGAGGAAGGUGGGGAUGACGUCAAAUCAUCAUGCCCCUUAUGACCUGGGCUACACACGUGCUACAAUGGAUGGUACAACGAGUUGCAAGACCGCGAGGUCAAGCUAAUCUCUUAAAGCCAUUCUCAGUUCGGACUGUAGGCUGCAACUCGCCUACACGAAGUCGGAAUCGCUAGUAAUCGCGGAUCAGCACGCCGCGGUGAAUACGUUCCCGGGCCUUGUACACACCGCCCGUCACACCAUGAGAGUUUGUAACACCCGAAGCCGGUGGCGUAACCCUUUUAGGGAGCGAGCCGUCUAAGGUGGGACAAAU
rnacentral:rRNA from 1 species